rnacentral:rRNA from 1 species
UUUCGCAAUGCCCGAAAGGGUGACGAAGCGACGCCGCGUGGGUGAGGAAGGCCUUCGGGUUGUAAAGCCCUGUCAGGAGUUAUGAAAUGUAAGUGUGCUAAUAUCGCAUUUACUUGACGAAGGCUCCAAAGGAAGUCACGGCUAACUCUGUGCCAGCAGCCGCGGUAAUACAGAGGUGGCAAGCGUUGUUCGGAAUUAUUGGGCGUAAAGAGCACGUAGGUGGGUUUGUAAGUCAGAUGUGAAAGCCUCCUGUUCAACGGGAGAAUUGCAUCUGAAACUACUGAUCUUGAGUAUAGGAGGGGAGAAUGGAACUUCUGGUGGAGCGGUGAAAUGCGUAGAUAUCAGAAGGAACGCCGGCGGCGAAAGCGAUUCUCUGGCCUAUUACUGACACUCAGUGUGCGAAAGCUAGGGGAGCAAACGGGAUUAGAUACCCCGGUAGUCCUAGCCGUAAACGAUGGGCACUAAGUAGAGGGGUUUU